GACGAACGCUGGCGGCGUGCCUAACACAUGCAAGUCGAGCGGUUCUUAAGCUGUAGUUUACUAUAGCUUAAGAAUAGCGGCGAACGGGUGAGUAACACGUGGGCAACCUGUCCGAAAGAUCGGGAUAACAGUCCGAAAGGGCUGCUAAUACCGAAUACGCUUACCGGGUCGCAUGAUCCGGUAAGGAAAGGUCGGCAACUUCCGCUUUCGGGUGGGCCCGCGUCCCAUUAGCUAGUUGGUAGGGUAACGGCCUACCAAGGCAACGAUGGGUAGCUGGUCUGAGAGGAUGGUCAGCCACACUGGGACUGAGACACGGCCCAGACUCCUACGGGAGGCAGCAGUGGGGAAUUUUGGACAAUGGGCGCAAGCCUGAUCCAGCCAUUCCGCGUGCAGGAUGAAGGCCCUCGGGUUGUAAACUGCUUUUGUACGGAACGAAACGGCGCUCUCUAAUACAGGGCGCUAAUGACGGUACCGUAAGAAUAAGCACCGGCUAACUACGUGCCAGCAGCCGCGGUAAGGAGUAGUA
rnacentral:rRNA from 1 species